UACGUAGGGGGCAAGCGUUGUCCGGAUUUAUUGGGCGUAAAGAGCGUGUAGGCGGCCAGGUAGGUCCGUUGUGAAAACUCGAGGCUCAACCUCGAGACGCCGAUGGAAACCAUCUGGCUAGAGUCCGGAAGAGGAGAGUGGAAUUCCCGGUGUAGCGGUGAAAUGCGCAGAUAUCGGGAAGAACAUCCGUGGCUAAGGCGGCUCUCUAGUACGGAACUGACGCUGAGACGCGAAAGCGUGGGGAGCGAACAGG
rnacentral:rRNA from 1 species